AACACCACCCACCACCCAGAAGGAAUAUCUUUUUGGUUAAGAAUUCUUGAGUUGGCAAAGCAUUUUGACCAGAAAGAUCCCUCUGUUCAUCAUGAUUCUAGAGUUCAUCCCACAACAAGUCCUGCAGCUACAAGUGUUGGAGCUUCACCUGAUCAUAAUUUUGAUGACCAUACACAUAAUCUUUCCAGGAUCCCUUCCCAAGGAGCUGAGGUUGUUGCUAGAUAUCAGGACAAUCAGAAUGAAACGACAGCUACAAUCCCCCCUAACUCACCAUAGAAAAUUACUUUUAUGUUUAUACUAAUGGCAAUUAAAGGGGUAAGAUUUUCGAUAUUAUUUGUAUUUUUCUUUCCUUUGAUUAGGGUUUUAAUUUGCUACCCCUUAUCCAAUAAUAAUAAUAAAUAUUUAAGGAAGUUUUCAUGUAUGUUUCUGAUUUGGAUUUUUUAAAUAGGAAUAGCGGAUGUAUUGCCAAACAAAGGUGUUUAUAGCAUGAUUGUGGCCUGAUGUUUUCCAUGUUGAUGGUCUGUUGUUUUAUGCUUUUCUGUAUCUGCUCCAAUGCUUCUUAGCUACUGUUUUGUGGAGGCUUCAAUCCAUUUGUUGCUGCUGUUUUCGAAUGCCUGGGUUUUGCUUUGAUUUUAACUAUGCGUGGGCUCAUCGUCAAUAUGUAUAUUAUGAAAUAGGCCGAGAAAAGCUAGCUUGCUGAAUUUUUCUUGUCUAUAAAGCCUAAUUAUCAUCAAUUUUAAAUAUAAAUAUGUUAAAUUUUAAUAUAUACGUCAGUUUUGUCUAAACUCACUUUGCUAUGACUCAAGAUAUUGGAUAUGUGAGUCUUUUAUGAAAAAAUUAAAUAGAAUCUUCGUUUAUAUAUUUUGGUUACAUUAUUAUUUAUUUAAAAAAAAAUUAUGAUUUAUAUAUAGAGUUCAAACAUAAUAUAUACGAAAAAAAAAUUAUUUAAAUUCAAUGUACCGUAAAUCUAGAUAUAAACAAGUGAAUCUCUAUGAAAAAAUUAGAUAGAAUCUAUUUUCAUGUGUUUUGGUUAUAUGAUUAUCUGUCUAAGAAUUUUUCAUAUGAUUCAUAUAAAUUAACACAAAAAUUUUUCAUUCCAUCAAAUUUUAUAUUCAAAAAUUGAACAAAUAUAUAUUUUAGUGCCGAUUUUUAUAAAAAAAAAAAAUCAAUUAACACAAUAACUUUUUAAUAUUAAUAACCUUUUGACUCUAACCGUUUAAUAUUUAACUUUUUUUUUUUUUGAAAUAACAAGAAAACUUCAUUAAUUCAAAGAGAACAAAGAAAUAAUAUGAGGAGGAGGGAUAUCAAUCCAAACUCCUUGACCUGACUCAGAAUGAGCCGAUAUUGCUAGAACAUGAGCGACAUCAUUCGCAGAUCUAUGAACAAAAACACACUUUGCUUCCUCAUAACUAAAUAGAAGCAGUUUACAAUCUUGAACCAAAAGGCCAAAAGACGAUAAAUCAUCUAACAAAACACAAUUAACUGACAUCACAAGUACCUGAGCAUCGAAUUCGAAAAGAACUCGAUCCCAUCCACACUCUUUAAUCCAGCUCAAUGCUUCCCGGAAUGCUAUAGCUUCAGCACACUUUGCAUCCAUCUGGCUAUAAAAAGAGCCUGCUCUAGCAGCCACAAAACUCACAUAAUAUUAUAUAUUUUUCAACUCUCUUCAUUAGUUCUGAUAAGGUGUUUGGUGGCUUUCGGCAUAAGGACCCGAAGAAUUCUAAAGAGGUCAUUCCCCUUUAUAUGGCCUUUACCGCUCUUGCUUCGUCUGGUUCGGGUAUCUGCAAAACCUCCAAGUUGAAUCUGGCUACAUACUCUCUCAAGAACUCGUUUCUCCUUUGUUUAACUAUUUUCAGGUAACUUGUCUUCUUUCUUGCUGGGACUCCGGUAAUAAACCUACUGAUGAAUACAUUGGUUAGAUUGACAAAGUUCCUUAUACUUCCUAGUUUUAGGCUAUUAAACCAUGUCUAGCUGGUCCUGUCAAGGUCGUGGGGAAGACUUUGCACAUCAAAGCAUCAGAGUGCGUUUGCAACUCCAUAAAGGUAUCACGUCCCACAACAGUAAAUUACAGAAUAAUGAAAUUGAAUAUAAUAGCUAGUACGAAACUACUAAAUAACUUGGGUUAACCAUUUUGGGCCAAGUGAAAAAUGAAUCCAAAAGUUAUUUAGGUUAGUUUGGAUCGAAAUGUUUCAAUUGGUAUAAGAGCCACACUAGGUCAAAAAAUUAUGCAGAGCUAGUGGGCCUGCGAGGAAAGGGCUACUCGUACAGAACGAGGUGGAGCCGCCCGAGGCAUUAGUGAACCAUAAUAUCCGAGAGUCUAGUCCUGGCAUAGCAAUUGUAUCCAAUUCAGCGUAGCAAGAUCACAACGGGAACAUUGCUGAAUUUAGUGGAGAGUUGUGGAGCCCACUUUGCUUGUGGGAUGAUUCCCAUAUAUUAGCUAAGCUAUACACUACUAAAUAGCUUGGGUUAACCAUUUUGGAUCAAGUAAAAAAUAGGUCCAAAAGUUAUUUGGGUCAGUUUGGGUCGGACUGUUAUAAUUGGUAUCAGAGCCACCCUUGGUCAGAAAAAUUAUACGGAGCUAGUGGGCUUGUGAGAAAAGGGCUACCCGUGUGAAACGAGGUGGACACGCCCGAGUCACUAGCGAACCAUAAUACCUGGGGGUCCGAUCUUAGCAUAUCAAUUGUACUCAAUUCAGCACAACUAGAUCACAACAAGGACAUUGCAAAAUUGAGUAAGGGAGAAUUAUCACAUCCUACAUCGGCAAAUUACGGAAUAACAAAAUUGAAUAUAAUAGUUAGUAUAAAAUUACUAAAUAAUUUAGGUUAACGAUUUUGGACCAAGUGAAAAAUGGGUCCAAAAGUUAUUUGGGUCAGUUUGGGCCGGACUGUUAUAAAAGGUCUUGUAAUUCAACACGUGAUCCCGUAGUUUUUCUGCUCCAUCAUAUAUAGCCAAUGUCGACAUCAUAAACUUUUUUGGUAUAAUCUCGAAUUGGACCCUCUUGACAAAUGGUGAGGAGGCCGACAUCAUGAACUUCUUUGGUAUAGUCUUGAAUUGGACCUUCUUGACAAAUGGUAACGUGGUCGGCAACAUUGGACUGACAUUAUCCUUGGCUCUGAGCUCCAUCAACAACUGCUCUUUUGUUUUCCACAAACGACGCCAAUUGAUGAUUGAAAUCUAAAAUGGUUUUGGGAUUAGGUGCAUUUUUUUUAAUGAGCUCCCUUGUUGUUUGAUCAUUCCCCUUUUUAUUUCUAUUUCUUUUUGUCUUUUUCGGGUGUGCCUUCUCCGUACUACACUCUUACCUGUCUGCCACCUUCAUGCGGACAACAUGUUCAUGAGUAUGAGAUAUUGAUUCUCGUCAGGCGACUAUUUAAUUCUUCUUGGCCUUUUUGGACAGGAUCCCUAUUAUUGCAGGCUUUGUUCUCAUGCGGUCGUUGAUAAUUAGUCAAAUUCAUUUGCCCUGAACUCCUUUGAACCUUAUUUGGUCCAUAGGCUUAGACCAUAUGCGCUGUGAGCCUGUAUUGGAUUGGCCUAGACCCUUUUUGAUUUGGACUGUAGCAGGCUUGGCGGUCCGAGACCCAUUAAUCAUCACUGCAAAAUUGUGAUCAUAGUCAUUUUGUAACAAAAUUAUAAUUACUCUUAAAAGAAUAAUUAUUAGUAAUAACAAAUAUGGUUACUAAAAAAAUUUUUUAUUAAUGCCACCAUGAUUUUUGGUGAUAUAAUUAUUUGAAUUAUUUUUAUAUAUUAAUUAAUUUAAUAGUAAUUAAUAUUCUUAUAAAUUUUUUGCCGUUAAUUCUUGUAUUUGUUGUAGUGAUUUGAUUUUGACGAAAUUUUAUUCCUUGGAAAAAAUAUUUGAUGACGGGUGAUAGGGGAGAAGUUGUUGGGCAGCUGGACAAGAUUUGUUGUGAUCAUAUGGUUUUUUGUGGUGCUAAUCAUAUCCCAAAGCUACACUGCUAGUUUAGCUUCAAUGUUAACAGUGAAGAGAAUGCAGCCUACCUUUGCUGAUGUUAAAGAGAUUCAAAGGAAUGGUCAUUUUGUAGGAUACCAAAGCAAUUCUUUUGUGAAGGAUUUCUUAAUAAAACAGCUGAACUUCAGUGAGUCCAAGUUGAAAAAUUAUAGCACCCCAGAAGAUUAUGCUGAAGCAUUGUCUCUUGGAAUCCACAAUGGUGGUGUUGCUGCUAUUUUUUAUGAAAUUCCUUACAUCAAACUCUUUUUGGCCAAAUUUUGCUCCAAAUUCCAAAUGGUGGGGCCAACCUACAAAACAGAUGGAUUUGGCUUUGUAAGUCUUCUCUCUAGCUCCAACUAUGCUCAUAUUUUCGUAUAUUAUAGUUUUAUUCACCGUCUUAAAAAGAAGGGGAGAUUUAUAAAACAACGUACUGGAUACCAUUAUAAUUGAAUCACUGUUUUUUCUGUGUUAGGCCUUUCCACUUGGGUCCCCAUUAGUGUCAAAUAUUUCAAGAGCAAUCUUGAUUGUGACUCAAGACAAAGGUAAAAUGGACAGAAUAGAGCGGAGUAACUUUCCUGACGAGAAUGCAUGUGAUGAUCAAAUUGCCCCAAACUCUUCAGGUAGUCUUAGUGUGACCAGCUUUGGGGGCUUGUUCAUCAUCACAGGACUUGCUUCCAUUUUUUCUCUAUUGAUUCAUAUCAUGAAGUUCAUUUGGUUUCAUUGGCCUAUUUCAAACACCACCCACCACCCAGAAGGAAUAUCUUUUUGGUUAAGAAUUCUUGAGUUGGCAAAGCAUUUUGACCAGAAAGAUCCCUCUGUUCAUCAUGAUUCUAGAGUUCAUCCCACAACAAGUCCUGCAGCUACAAGUGUUGGAGCUUCACCUGAUCAUAAUUUUGAUGACCAUACACAUAAUCUUUCCAGGAUCCCUUCCCAAGGAGCUGAGGUUGUUGCUAGAUAUCAGGACAAUCAGAAUGAAACGACAGCUACAAUCCCCCCUAACUCACCAUAGAAAAUUACUUUUAUGUUUAUA
rnacentral:lncRNA from 1 species